rnacentral:rRNA from 1 species
GACGAACGCUGGCGGCGUGCUUAACACAUGCAAGUCGAACGGUAAGGCCCUCCGGGGUACACGAGUGGCGAACGGGUGGGUAACACGUGGGUGAUCUGCCCUGCACUUCGGGAUAAGCCUGGGAAACUGGGUCUAAUACCGGAUAGGACUCCGGACUGCAUGGUCUGGGGUGGAAAGCUUUUGCGGUGUGGGAUGGGCCCGCGGCCUAUCAGCUUGUUGGUGGGGUGAUGGCCUACCAAGGCGACGACGGGUAGCCGGCCUGAGCGGGUGACCGACCACACUGGAGCUGAGAUCAGGACGAGACUCCUACGGGAGGGAGCAGUGGGGAAUAUUGCACAAUGGGCGCAAGCCUGAGGACGCGACGCCGCGUGAGGGAGGACGGCCUUCGGGUCGUAAACCUCUUUCAGCAUCGCCGAAGCGAAAGUGACGUUAGGUGCAGAAGAAGGACCGGACAACUACGUGCCAGCCGCCGCCGUAG